rnacentral:rRNA from 1 species
GGAUAAGAAACUAAAUAGGAUUCCCUCAGUAAUGGCGAAUGAACAGGGAUCAGCUCAGCAUGGAAAUUGGGGCCCUCGGCCUUGAAUUGUAGUCUCGAGAUGCAUCGCCAAUGGAGGCGCAGAUGUAAGCCUCUUGGAAAAGAGCAUCAACGAGGGUGAGAGUCCCGUUUGUCAUCUGCAGUCCCCCAUGCACGGCGUGCCUUCUAAGAGUCGCGUUCCUCGGAAUUGGAGCGUCAAUUGGGUGGUAAAUUUCAUCUCAAGCUAAAUAUUGGUUCGAGACCGAUAGCAAACAAGUACCAUGAGGGAAAGGUGAAAAGGACUUUGAAAAGAGAGUUAAAAGUGCCUGAAAUUGCUGAAAGGGAAGCGAAUGGAACCAGUGUUGCUUGGCGAGAUUGUCGUACGCAUUCGCGUGUGGUGGUUCUUGCCUUGUGUGUCAACGCCAGUUCGCGAUCGAGGAAAACUCCAGGGACAUGGUAGCCUACCCCUGGGUGGGUGAAUGUGCUUGGUAGAACUCAUUUGCGGACUGUUUCCUUCGUGUCUGGUUGCAGUGCUGCUUGAUCCUGUGUUGGCGCUUGGGGGUGGGAGCUCGCUCCUCACACCCUGCCCUUCUAAGGUUCUCAGCGCUUCCCUGACACAUAGACCAUGACUAAAUGGUUCUAUUCGACCCGUCUUGAAACACG